CAGGUCUUGCUGUCCUCAGUAGGAGUGAAACCCAUCUCACACUCGCAGCGGUAGCCUCCAGGAGUGUUCAGACACUGGCCGUUCUCACACAGGUUCACGUUAUCUGCACACUCGUCUGUGUCUGAGAGACAAAAGCAGACUGCUCUUGUUAGGGGUUGCCACAGAGGAUCAUUGGUCUGUGUAUUUGAUUUGGCACAGUUUUUAUGCCGGAUGCCCUUCCUGACACAACCCUCCCCAAUGUUACCAGCAUUGAGAGUGCACUGUUGCAUGCAACCCCAGUGGCUAGUGUUGGUUCCCUGGCCAGGAAUCGAACCCGGGCCGCAGCGGUGACAGCGCUCUGGCCUAACCACUAGUUGCGGAGGUGGUCAUUUCUGUUUCCUGUACCAGAGCAGGAGAAGCCAUCUCCAUUGAAACCCUCCUUGCAGGCGCAGCGGUAUGAGCCGGGAGUGUUGACACACUCAGCGUUGGGGUUACAGCUGUGGUCCUCUGUGGAGCA